rnacentral:rRNA from 1 species
GUGGUAUCCUGUCUGAAUAUGGGGGGACCAUCCUCCAAGGCUAAAUACUCCUGACUGACCGAUAGUGAACCAGUACCGUGAGGGAAAGGCGAAAAGAACCCCGGCGAGGGGAGUGAAAAAGAACCUGAAACCGUGUACGUACAAGCAGUGGGAGCACAGGUUUACCUGUGUGACUGCGUACCUUUUGUAUAAUGGGUCAGCGACUUAUAUUCUGUAGCAAGGUUAACCGCAUAGGGGAGCCGCAGGGAAACCGAGUCUUAACCGGGCGUUAAGUUGCAGGGUAUAGACCCGAAACCCGGUGAUCUAGCCAUGGGCAGGUUGAAGGUUGGGUAACACUAACUGGAGGACCGAACCGACUAAUGUUGAAAAAUUAGCGGAUGACCUGUGGCUGGGGGUGAAAGGCCAAUCAAACCGGGAGAUAGCUGGUUCUCCCCGAAAGCUAUUUAGGUAGCGCCUCGUGAAUUCAUCUCCGGGGGUAGAGCACUGUUUCGGCUAGGGGGCCAUCCCGGCUUACCAACCCGAUGCAAACUGCGAAUACCGGAGAAUGUUAUCACGGGAGACACACGGCGGGUGCUAACGUCCGUCGUGAAGAGGGAAACAACCCAGACCGCCAGCUAAGGUCCCAAAGUCAUGGUUAAGUGGGAAACGAUGUGGGAAGGCCCAGACAGCCAGGAUGUUGGCUUAGAAGCAGCCAUCAUUUAAAGAAAGCGUAAUAGCUCACUGGUCGAGUCGGCCUGCGCGGAAGAUGUAACGGGGCUAAACCAUGCACCGAAGCUGCGGCAGCGAACGUAUCACCCAAGACAACUUUGCGGAGUUGACGAUUGACGGAGCGAAGCGACGUCAAAGCGUUCAUUAAAGUCGAGUUGGCUUAGGGAUACGUUCGUUGGGUAGGGGAGCGUUCUGUAAGCCUGUGAAGGUAUGCUGUGAGGCAUGCUGGAGGUAUCAGAAGUGCGAAUGCUGACAUAAGUAACGAUAAAGCGGGUGAAAAGCCCGCUCGCCGGAAGACCAAGGGUUCCUGUCCAACGUUAAUCGGGGCAGGGUGAGUCGACCCCUAAGGCGAGGCCGAAAGGCGUAGUCGAUGGGAAACGGGUUAAUAUUCCCGUACUUGGUGUUACUGCGAAGGGGGGACGGAGAAGGCUAUGUUGGCCGGGCGACGGUU